GAUGAACGCUGGCGGCAGGCUUAAUACAUGCAAGUCGUGGGGCAGCAGGGGUAGCAAUACCCGCUGGCGACCGGCAAACGGGUGCGGAACACGUACGCAACCUUCCUUUAACUGGAGAAUAGCCCCUCGAAAGAGGGAUUAAUACUCCGUAACAUGUACAUGUGGCAUCACAAGUACAUUAUAGCUUCGGCGGUUAAAGAUGGGCGUGCGCCUGAUUAGAUAGUGGCGGGGAACGCCACCAAGUCUGCGAUCAGUAACUGGUGUGAGAGCACGACCAG
rnacentral:rRNA from 1 species